CCAAAACCAAUAGUUGGUUUAUUUAUUUAUUUCUUGGACCAAAUAAUUAUUUAAACCGAUUAUGGGUCAGUUCAAUUAAUUAAUUCUAUGAUUAUAUACCUAGGUAUAUAAGUGUAUGCAGCAUCCUAUUCUCCUCUCUUCUUAGCUGCCGUCAUUUUCAACUUAAGAAAAUAGAGCUCAGUUAUGUUUCUCGUCCUUCGCUGUUGAUAUCUAAUCACCAUCUAAAAAGACACAUUAAAGUUCAGCAGAUACGUUUUGGGAGAACAGAAGAACGGUCAAUCAAAACAGAGAAAUUCGAUUUCAAAUUUUGAGAUCGGAUCCGCCGACAGUCAACUUCAUCGGUGUUUUCCCGUCGAUCCAGAAGGAACCAGGAAACGAGCGAGAUAUCAUUGGAAAGCUCUUACUGUCAGAUUUCUAUAUCAUCUUUUAUAUUCUCAAACCGAGAGCCAGUUCCGAUCAGUCUCGGUGUAAGGGAGAAACGGUAGACCUAAACGAAAGAUUUAAAUCUGUAAAUUUUUCACUAAGUAGAUAAUUCUUUUAUCUGUCUUCUCCAACAAGCGGAUUGUCAUUUCAAGUUAUUUUCUGAGAGUUAUUCUUGGUUUCGUGGGAGGUGUUGGUACAGUCUGCGUUUGCAACCAGUGUGGAGAUAAAGCUAUUUUGGUUAAUCAAAUGGUGCCCGAUCAGAGUAAACUCGGUGGAUACGGACAAAGGACAUAUAGGACUACAUUCUGACCGGAGGGAUCAAAACGUUAACGAAAGUUCGAGAGUUGCUAUCUUAGAGGUGUUAAGGUCCAUUCGGCGUUUUCUCAAGUUUUCUUCAGAACUCGUGGCAAAGGUGAGACAGACGAGUAUAUGAUAUUUGGACGGAUUGGUGCUACUGGACUUUUUAUUCGGAUUUUUAUUUGGGUUCUGGGUGAGUGGAUUUGUGUAUAUGGGCUAUUGUGUUAUGAGUUAUUGUUGCUGGCCCAUUUUCUCGAGAUAGGAGGUGACGGGUGUUACAAUUUGGUAUGAGAUAGUGAUGUCAGUUUGUCAGAUUGCUCAGAGGUUUAUCAAUUUCUUCAAUCAUUAUUUCGAAGUUUUUCAAGAGUGGAUAUGUGACGUUUCAGUCACCACCAAUUUUCAAGCCAUCGAUCCACGAGUUUCUGAUGUAUGAGUUAUGUGAUUUGAGGUAUGAGCCAUUGGCUGGCAUGUGAUUUUUUUUGUGUACGAGUAUGUUGGUUUCUUUGGAUGUACGCUUUUCUGAAACUCGUGGGGAUCGUCUUGAGACUGGGGGUGCGCCGGUUGCGUUGUGUUGAUACUGGAGUUACACUUGGCAUGUUUGCCAGGUUUUGUUUAUAUUGAUCGUUUCAGAGAUGUGUUAGUUCGGACAGCUGCCACAGGACGUUGGGAGCUAUUUUUUUUUUUUUUUUUUAUUCAUCGAGUUGUACUAGUUGUACUUGGAGAGUUCUAUGGAUUUCGUAUUACAUGCUGAUGAUUUAUUGAGCUGAGGAGUAGAUGGAUUUUUUGUGACCAUUUCGAUGGUUGAGGAUGAUGGACAGAAUGGGCUGCAGGAUUCUCAAGUUAUUGCAGAGUAUGAGGGCUUAAAAGGGUCAUUACUAGCCAGAGGAGAUGCUCUUACGAUUGAGUUGGAACCAUGGACAGCACCAAUUACACGAGCUCCAUACCGUCUAGCACCAGCAAUUAGAGGAACUAUCUGAUAAGGGUUUCAGAAGACCUAUUACUUCACCAUAAGGAGCAUAAGUAUUAUUUGUGACGAAGAAAGAUGAGAGUUUUAGAGUUUGCAUCGUCUGCAGAGACUUGAACAAGGAUACCAUCAAGUUGCUAAUUGCUAUAGCUGAGGAGCAUGUACAGAGGACGGUUUUCUGUAUACGCUAUGGACAUUUUGAGUUUGUGGUGAUACCAUUUGGGUCGACAAAUGAACCGGUAGCAUUCAAGAAACUUAUGAACGAUGUCUUUUGUCAGCACUUGGAUAAGUGUGCCAUUGCCUUCAUCGACGAUAUCGUGAUUUAUGCUUUGAGCAGAGAAGAGCAUGCUGAGCAUUUACAGAUUGUGUUGGUUAAGCUGGAGAGCAUCAAUUAGUUGUUAGCUUGGUAAGUUUUUCUUUUGGCUGGAGAAGGAAAACAAAAAAAAUUAGAUUUUGGAUUAUGUGGUUUCAGAAGCAGGAGUUACCAAGAUUUGGAAUAUACCACUACGAUUUCAGCGCGGCCAACAUCUAAGAGUUACAUAAAUAAGAAGUUAUGUUUUUAUUGGCCUGGUAUGAAGAACAAUGUUGCUACAAUGUAUCGCAGUGUCAAACAUGUCAGAUGGUUAAGGUUGAGAAUCUGGUGCUUAGCGGGUUAUUGCAUGAUCUGCCAUUACCAUAGUGGAAAUGGUAUUUGGUGACUAUGGAUUUGUAAUUGUGUUACAAAAAAAAAAACUUCAUGUGGAAAGAAUCCUAUUUAGGUUAUUGAGGAUAGAUUCACCAAGUGUGCUCAUCUUCUAGCAAUUACGAAAACAAAUGGAGCUGAUCAGUUGGCAGAGAUGUACAUCAAAGAGAUUGUGAGGUUGCAUUGAGUUCCUGUUAGCAUUGUAUCAGAUUGGUAUACUAAGUUCACAUAUGCUUCUUGGAGAGCCUUUCUUAAGGCAUUUGGGACAAAGGUCCACAUGAGUACAGCCUACCAACCACAGACAUAUGGAAGUCAGGGAGGACUAUUCAGACAUUGGAUGAUAUGCUCAGAGCUUGCGUUUAUAUUGGGAAGGAAACUGGGGGGAAAGUAUCUACAUCUAGCAGAGUUUUCCUACAACAACACCUAUCAUUCGAGUAUGAGAUGACACCAUAUGAGGCAUUUUAUGGUAGGUCUUGUCAUACACCACUUAGUUGGACAUAAGUGAGGAAGAGACAAGAGUUAGAACCUUCAAUGGUUCUAGAGACGGUAUAGCAAAGGGACAUGCUCAAGGUCGGCUUAAGAAAGCCAUGACCGUCACAGAAGUUAUGCAGCUAAGCAUUGUAAGGAUUUGAAGUUUCUUGUCGGCGGUUGAGUAAACCUUAAAAUAAGGACAAUUCAAGGAGGAUCUAAGACUCAAAAUUUAACAAGAUUAAAGCGAAAUAUAUGGGACCCUAUUACAUUUUGCAGCAGACUAGAGCAGUUGCUUACAAACUGGAUUUAUCGGCAGAGUUAUCAGACUUUCAAGUCGUGUUUCAUCUAUUAUUUUGAAGAUAGUCGUAAGAGAGACAGUUCUCAUUUUUCAGUAGCCACCAGAUGAUCUCAAAAGAUUGUAUGCAUCUUGUCAGGCUGUGGAGAUCAUGGACCGACAAGUGAAAGCGGUUCAGGGAAUGAUGACUAUGUUGGUCAAAGUUUAUUGGACGAUUCAGAACUCUUUUCAGUAUGAUAAUGGACAGUCGACUCAGGAUUUGAAUUCAGGGACGAAUUCCAAUUAAGUGGGGAAGAAUUGUAACGACCCAAAACCAAUAGUUGGUUUAUUUAUUUAUUUCUUGGACCAAAUAAUUAUUUAAACCGAUUAUGGGUCAGUUCAAUUAAUUAAUUCUAUGAUUAUAUACCUAGGUAUAUAAGUGUAUGCAGCAUCCUAUUCUCCUCUCUUCUUAGCUGCCGUCAUUUUCAACUUAAGAAAAUAGAGCUCAGUUAUAUUUCUCGUCCUUCGCUGUUGAUAUCUAAUCACCAUCUAAAAAGACACAUUAAAGUUCAGCAGAUACGUUUUGGGAGAACAGAAGAACGGUCAAUCAAAACAGAGAAUUUCGAUUUCAAAUUUUGAGGUUAUGUUCUACACUCAUAGAUCUAUAUUUAUCAGAAAGCGGAUCAUCAUUUGGAGUUUUCAUCUAAUAGUUAUGGUUAUUUCUUUGGGGCUGUUCGUUGUAGAUCGGAUCCGCCGACAGUCAACUUCAUCGGUGUUUUCCCGUCGAUCCAGAAGGAACCAGGAAACGAGCGAGAUAUCAUUGGAAAGCUCUUACUGUCAGAUAUCUAUAUCAUCUUUUAGAUUCUCAAACCGAGAGCCAGUUCCGAUCAGUCUCGGUGUAAGGGAGAAACGGUAGACCUAAACGAAAGAUUUAAAUCUGUAAAUUUGUCAUCUGCGUUUGCAACCAGUGUGGAGAUAAAGCUAUUUUGGUUAAUCAAAUGGUGCCCGAUCAGAGUAAACUCGGUGGAUACGGACAAAGGACAUAUAGGACUACAUUCUGACCGGAGGGAUCAAAACGUUAACGAAAGUUCGAGAGUUGCUAUCUUAGAGGUGUUAAGGUCCAUUCGGCGUUUUCUCAAGUUUUCUUCAGAACCCGUGGCAAAGGUGAGGGCUAUUCUCAUAAUUUCUCGUACACGGCAUAAGACUUCGAAUAAACAUAGUUUAGUUCUAAUAUGUAUCCGUCUUUGUGAAUUGAGUCAGUCUGAUGUCUG